rnacentral:rRNA from 1 species
UACAGAGGUCUCAACCGUUGUUCGGAUUCAUUGGGCGUAAAGGGUGCGUAGGCGGUCGUGCAAGUCGGAUGUGAAAUCUCAGGGCUCAACCCUGAAACUGCAUUCGAUACUGCGUGGCUAGAGUGCUGGAGAGGAGACUGGAAUUUACGGCGUAGCAGUGAAAUGCGUAGAUAUCGUAAGGAAGACCAGUGGCGAAGGCGAGUCUCUGGACAGCAACUGACGCUGAGGCACGAAGGCCAGGGGAGCAAACGGG